UUUAUUGGUAAUAAUGGAAGGGAAUUGCCGGAACAAACAAAGAAAAGACAGAAAGAGUGCUAUCUAGUCGCAAGUUUCUCUUCGGUGGUAAAAGG
rnacentral:misc_RNA from 1 species